rnacentral:rRNA from 1 species
CCUACGGGAGGCAGCAGUGGGGAAUAUUGGACAAUGGGGGGAACCCUGAUCCAGCCAUGCCGCGUGUGUGAAGAAGGCCUUAUGGUUGUAAAGCACUUUAAGCGAGGAGGAGGCUACUUUAGUUAAUACCUAGAGAUAGUGGACGUACUCGCAGAAUAGACCCG